rnacentral:rRNA from 1 species
AACGAACGCUGGCGGCAUGCCUAACACAUGCAAGUCGAACGAGACCUUCGGGCUUAGUGGCGCACGGGUGCGUAACGCGUGGGAACCUGCCCUUAGGUUCGGCAUAACUCCCCGAAAGGGGUGCUAAUACCGGAUAAUGUCUUCGGACCAAAGAUUUAUCGCCUUUGGAUGGGCCCGCGUUGGAUUAGCUAGUUGGUAGGGUAAAAGCCUACCAAGGCGACGAUCCAUAGCUGGUCUGAGAGGAUGAUCAGCCACACUGGGACUGAGACACGGCCCAGACUCCUACGGGAGGCAGCAGUGGGGAAUAUUGGACAAUGGGCGAAAGCCUGAUCCAGCAAUGCCGCGUGAGUGAUGAAGGCCUUAGGGUUGUAAAGCUCUUUUACCCGGGAUGAUAAUGACAGUACCGGGAGAAUAAGCUCCGGCUAACUCCGUG